GGUUAAGCGACUAAGCGUACACGGUGGAUGCCCCGGCAGUCAGAGGCGAUGAAGGACGUGCUAAUCUGCGAUAAGCGUCGGUAAGGUGAUAUGAACCGUUAUAACCGGCGAUUUCCGAAUGGGGAAACCCAGUGUGAUUCGUCACACUAUCAUUAACUGAAUCCAUAGGUUAAUGAGGCGAACCGGGGGAACUGAAACAUCUAAGUACCCCGAGGAAAAGAAAUCAACCGAGAUUCCCCCAGUAGCGGCGAGCGAACGGGGAGCAGCCCAGAGCCUGAAUCAGUGUGUGUGUUAGUGGAAGCGUCUGGAAAGGCGUGCGAUACAGGGUGACAGCCCCGUACACAAAAAUGCACAUACUGUGAGCUCGAUGAGUAGGGCGGGACACGUGGUAUCCUGUCUGAAUAUGGGGGACCAUCCUCCAAGGCUAAAUACUCCUGACUGACCGAUAGUGAACCAGUACCGUGAGGGAAAGGCGAAAAGAACCCCGGCGAGGGGAGUGAAAAAGAACCUGAAACCGUGUACGUACAAGCAGUGGGAGCACGCUUAGGCGUGUGACUGCGUACCUUUUGUAUAAUGGGUCAGCGACUUAUAUUCUGUAGCAAGGUUAACCGAAUAGGGGAGCCGAAGGGAAACCGAGUCUUAACUGGGCGUUAAGUUGCAGGGUAUAGACCCGAAACCCGGUGAUCUAGCCAUGGGCAGGUUGAAGGUUGGGUAACACUAACUGGAGGACCGAACCGACUAAUGUUGAAAAAUUAGCGGAUGACUUGUGGCUGGGGGUGAAAGGCCAAUCAAACCGGGAGAUAGCUGGUUCUCCCCGAAAGCUAUUUAGGUAGCGCCUCGUGAAUUCAUCUCCGGGGGUAGAGCACUGUUUCGGCAAGGGGGUCAUCCCGACUUACCAACCCGAUGCAAACUGCGAAUACCGGAGAAUGUUAUCACGGGAGACACACGGCGGGUGCUAACGUCCGUCGUGAAGAGGGAAACAACCCAGACCGCCAGCUAAGGUCCCAAAGUCAUGGUUAAGUGGGAAACGAUGUGGGAAGGCCCAGACAGCCAGGAUGUUGGCUUAGAAGCAGCCAUCAUUUAAAGAAAGCGUAAUAGCUCACUGGUCGAGUCGGCCUGCGCGGAAGAUGUAACGGGGCUAAACCAUGCACCGAAGCUGCGGCAGCGACGCUUAUGCGUUGUUGGGUAGGGGAGCGUUCUGUAAGCCUGUGAAGGUGUGCUGUGAGGUAUGCUGGAGGUAUCAGAAGUGCGAAUGCUGACAUAAGUAACGAUAAAGCGGGUGAAAAGCCCGCUCGCCGGAAGACCAAGGGUUCCUGUCCAACGUUAAUCGGGGCAGGGUGAGUCGACCCCUAAGGCGAGGCCGAAAGGCGUAGUCGAUGGGAAACAGGUUAAUAUUCCUGUACUUGGUGUUACUGCGAAGGGGGACGGAGAAGGCUAUGUUGGCCGGGCGACGGUUGUCCCGGUUUAAGCGUGUAGGCUGGUUUUCCAGGCAAAUCCGGAAAAUCAAGGCCGAGGCGUGAUGACGAGGCACUACGGUGCUGAAGCAACAAAUGCCCUGCUUCCAGGAAAAGCCUCUAAGCAUCAGGUAACAUCAAAUCGUACCCCAAACCGACACAGGUGGUCAGGUAGAGAAUACCAAGGCGCUUGAGAGAACUCGGGUGAAGGAACUAGGCAAAAUGGUGCCGUAACUUCGGGAGAAGGCACGCUGAUACGUAGGUGAAGCGACUUGCUCGUGGAGCUGAAAUCAGUCGAAGAUACCAGCUGGCUGCAACUGUUUAUUAAAAACACAGCACUGUGCAAACACGAAAGUGGACGUAUACGGUGUGACGCCUGCCCGGUGCCGGAAGGUUAAUUGAUGGGGUUAGCGCAAGCGAAGCUCUUGAUCGAAGCCCCGGUAAACGGCGGCCGUAACUAUAACGGUCCUAAGGUAGCGAAAUUCCUUGUCGGGUAAGUUCCGACCUGCACGAAUGGCGUAAUGAUGGCCAGGCUGUCUCCACCCGAGACUCAGUGAAAUUGAACUCGCUGUGAAGAUGCAGUGUACCCGCGGCAAGACGGAAAGACCCCGUGAACCUUUACUAUAGCUUGACACUGAACAUUGAGCCUUGAUGUGUAGGAUAGGUGGGAGGCUUUGAAGUGUGGACGCCAGUCUGCAUGGAGCCGACCUUGAAAUACCACCCUUUAAUGUUUGAUGUUCUAACGUGGACCCGUGAUCCGGGUUGCGGACAGUGUCUGGUGGGUAGUUUGACUGGGGCGGUCUCCUCCUAAAGAGUAACGGAGGAGCACGAAGGUUGGCUAAUCCUGGUCGGACAUCAGGAGGUUAGUGCAAUGGCAUAAGCCAGCUUGACUGCGAGCGUGACGGCGCGAGCAGGUGCGAAAGCAGGUCAUAGUGAUCCGGUGGUUCUGAAUGGAAGGGCCAUCGCUCAACGGAUAAAAGGUACUCCGGGGAUAACAGGCUGAUACCGCCCAAGAGUUCAUAUCGACGGCGGUGUUUGGCACCUCGAUGUCGGCUCAUCACAUCCUGGGGCUGAAGUAGGUCCCAAGGGUAUGGCUGUUCGCCAUUUAAAGUGGUACGCGAGCUGGGUUUAGAACGUCGUGAGACAGUUCGGUCCCUAUCUGCCGUGGGCGCUGGAGAACUGAGGGGGGCUGCUCCUAGUACGAGAGGACCGGAGUGGACGCAUCACUGGUGUUCGGGUUGUCAUGCCAAUGGCACUGCCCGGUAGCUAAAUGCGGAAGAGAUAAGUGCUGAAAGCAUCUAAGCACGAAACUUGCCCCGAGAUGAGUUCUCCCUGACCCUUUAAGGGUCCUGAAGGAACGUUGAAGACGACGACGUUGAUAGGCCGGGUGUGUAAGCGCAGCGAUGCGUUGAGCUAACCGGUACUAAUGAACCGUGAGGCUUAACCUU
rnacentral:rRNA from 1 species